ACGGGUGAGUAAUAUAUCGGAACGUGCCCAGUCGUGGGGGAUAACUACUCGAAAGAGUAGCUAAUACCGCAUACGACCUGAGGGUGAAAGCGGGGGAUCGCAAGACCUCGCGCGAUUGGAGCGGCCGAUAUCAGAUUAGGUAGUUGGUGGGGUAAAAGCCCACCAAGCCAACGAUCUGUAGCUGGUCUGAGAGGACGACCAGCCACACUGGGACUGAGACACGGCCCAGACUCCUACGGGAGGCAGCAGUGGGGAAUUUUGGACAAUGGGCGCAAGCCUGAUCCAGCCAUGCCGCGUGCGGGAAGAAGGCCUUCGGGUUGUAAACCGCUUUUGUCAGGGAAGAAAAGGUUCUGGUUAAUACCUGGGACUCAUGACGGUACCUGAAGAAUAAGCACCGGCUAACUACGUGCCAGCAGCCGCGGUAAUACGUAGGGUGCAAGCGUUAAUCGGAAUUACUGGGCGUAAAGCGUGCGCAGGCGGUUAUGCAAGACAGAGGUGAAAUCCCCGGGCUCAACCUGGGAACUGCCUUUGUGACUGCAUAGCUAGAGUACGGUAGAGGGGGAUGGAAUUCCGCGUGUAGCAGUGAAAUGCGUA
rnacentral:rRNA from 1 species